CCUGAGAAACCCAAAAGAUCGAAUGGGGAGAUUCAUCGUCAGCGAUUUUGGUACGUGUGCGGCUCGCGAUGCCAGAGACCUCGGUCUGCAGGCACGCGUCCGCAUGUUUUUUAUUGCCUCGAUCGUCGGCGUGCACUUCUCCCCUAGUAGGACGUCGCGACCCGUUGGGUGUCGGUCUACGGCCCGGGUGGUAGCCUGUCUCGUGUUCGCUUCGCGGCGUUACGCGGUUCAGACCCCCGGUCGCCCGACCGGCUGCUCGGCGGUACUCGCACGGUAUCUGGCCGCAAAUAUUCAAACUGCGUCCGGCCCGUCGCAAGCGCGGCAAGUGUUUUCCCGGUUGUACGGAUCUAAUGCCGUCACCGGGCCUUGCCAGCUGUUGGUUGACGGUGUCCUAGGACUGGCUAAUGCAAUUAUGAUACCGGUCGGCGACGCUACUGCUUUGGGUACUUUCAGGACCCGUCUUGAAACACGGACCAAGGAGUCUAACAUGUGCGCGAGUCAUUGGGAACUAUUAAGCCUAAAGGCGCAAUGAAAGUGAAGGUCCGCCUUGCGCCGACCGAGGGAGGAUGGGCCGCGUCACGAUGCGGUCCCGCACUCCCGGGGCGUCUCGUUCUCAUUGCGAGAAGAGGCGCGGCCAGAGCG
rnacentral:rRNA from 1 species